ACGAACGCUGGCGGCGUGCUUAACACAUGCAAGUCGAACGGAAAGGCCCUUCGGGGUACUCGAGUGGCGAACGGGUGAGUAACCCGUGGGUGAUCUGCCCUGCACUUUGGGAUAAGCCUGGGAAACUGGGUCUAAUACCGAAUAUGACCACGCUCUUCAUGGGGUGUGGUGGAAAGCUUUUGCGGUGUGGGAUGGGCCCGCGGCCUAUCAGCUUGUUGGUGGGGUAAUGGCCUACCAAGGCGACGACGGGUAGCCGGCCUGAGAGGGUGACCGGCCACACUGGGACUGAGAUACGGCCCAGACUCCUACGGGAGGCAGCAGUGGGGAAUAUUGCACAAUGGGCGCAAGCCUGAUGCAGCGACGCCGCGUGAGGGAUGACGGCCUUCGGGUUGUAAACCUCUUUCACCAGGGACGAAGCGCAAGUGACGGUACCUGGAGAAGAAGCACCGGCCAACUACGUGCCAGCAGCCGCGGUAAUACGUAGGGUGCGAGCGUUGUCCGGAAUUACUGGGCGUAAAGAGCUCGUAGGUGGUUUGUCGCGUUGUUCGUGAAAACUCACAGCUUAACUGUGGGCGUGCGGGCGAUACGGGCAGACUAGAGUACUGCAGGGGAGACUGGAAUUCCUGGUGUAGCGGUGGAAUGCGCAGAUAUCAGGAGGAACACCGGUGGCGAAGGCGGGUCUCUGGGCAGUAACUGACGCUGAGGAGCGAAAGCGUGGGGAGCGAACAGGAUUAGAUACCCUGGUAGUCCACGCCGUAAACGGUGGGUACUAGGUAUGGGUUCCUUCCUUGGGAUCCGUGCCGUAGCUAACGCAUUAAGUACCCUGCCUGGGGAGUGCGGCCGCAAGGCUAAAACUCAAAGGAAUUGACGGGGGCCCGCACAAGCGGCGGAGCAUGUGGAUUAAUUCGAUGCAACGCGAAGAACCUUACCUGGGUUUGACAUGCACAGGACGCUGGUAGAGAUAUCAGUUCCCUUGUGGCCUGUGUGCAGGUGGUGCAUGGCUGUCGUCAGCUCGUGUCGUGAGAUGUUGGGUUAAGUCCCGCAACGAGCGCAACCCCUAUCUUAUGUUGCCAGCGCGUUAUGGCGGGGACUCGUAAGAGACUGCCGGGGUCAACUCGGAGGAAGGUGGGGAGGACGUCAAGUCAUCAUGCCCCUUAUGUCCAGGGCUUCACACAUGCUACAAUGGCCGGUACAAAGGGCUGCGAAUCCGCGAGGUGGAGCGAAUCCCUUGAAAGCCGGUCUCAGUUCGGAUCGGGGUGUGCAACUCGACCCCGCGAAGUUGGAGUCGCUAAUAAUCGCAGAUCAGCAACGCUGCGGUGAAAAAGUUCCCGGGCCU
rnacentral:rRNA from 1 species